AGAGUGUACUGGCAGUGGAAACACCAUGAUCAAGCAGGUGGUUUUCCCAGGGUGAGACUAGUUCAUUGCACUUGGAACUUGUUGACCUCUGCGAUUUACCCAACUUUCAAGAUAUAGGAUAAUGCAUAGGGU
rnacentral:snRNA from 1 species